UCCGGCGGGGCCCCUCGCGGAGGGCCGGUCACAGUCACCCUCCCCCUCGUUCUGAGUUGUUGGCUCUGAACACGGCAGCAGCGACCCAUCAGCGCAGCGGAACGGACGCGUUUGGGCAGCACGACCCUGGUGUGGGCGCUUCAGCUGGCAUUUUGCCUAGGCCCACAGGCCUUUACGGAGGACGGAUGGACACGCGCCGCCAUCUUGUCGUCCUGCGGGGUGUGGGGACCAGCUCCCACAUGCUGCAGAGUGUCACCGCCAGCCCUACACUUGUGGUGGUCCCGCUGUGGGGUCGCGAGGAAGGGGCUGGAGCCUGGUGGCGCAACAACCUGAGGCCCGGGAUGAUAAUUGCUGCGCGGCGGUGAACUGCUCCCACCACCAGGCAAUGAGGAGAAACAGUCAUCUCCUUCCACAGAUAACCGGACCGCCGCUGCGCGGUCAGCCCUCUGCAGGGUCCAGCCCGAGGCAGGCGGCACUCUAUGCUCGGGGCCUCGGGGCUGGUCCAGCAUGUGAGUCAGCGCUGGGCGCUGUGUGGCCUUGGUCUGUGCCACCGUCUCUGCUCCGGGUGCCUCGGGCCACCGUGGCCACCUCACGGCCACCGGCGCCCACCUACUGGCCUCCACCACCCUCUCACCCCCAGCCCACGGCCACCCUGUUCUCCACUGAUUCAGGCUGGGGCCAACAAUGUCGAGAAAUGGUAUUCUGGAAACGCUCUUCCUUAGGUCACUAUCUCCUUGAAUUUGCUAUGACUUUUUUGCUCUUUUGAUGGCAGGGAGCCUGCCUUGAUCUCUGCAAUCAUGAAUGUGGCUGAGCAAAUACAACUUGUACCUCCAGGAUGGACAUGCCUCCCAGACACUCUGUUGCUAGAAGGGUCCUGGCAUUGCAGGGAAAAGUGGCUCUGCACUGGAGGCUUCACAUAAAGGGCUCAAAAUGUCUGGUCCAGUGGUUAAAAGCUGUUCACAGGGAUGACUGGACCCCGCUAAGCAUUCUUUCAUCUGUAGUGAACAUUUCACCAAAAAAAGCUCUCCAAAAUGCUAGAGGAUCAGUACUACGUGCUCAAGCCCAUGGUCGUGCCCUCCAUCGUCCUCCUGACUGAGAAGGGGGGCUGAAGGCCAUGGCCGCCCCAGGAGAAAGGACACCAGAAAGGCCGCAGGGGUCCUGAGGAACAUGUGAGUGAAGCAGAUGGGAAGGGAGCUACAGGUUCAUUGUCGUCCUUGAGGGAAAAUCUGAGGGCCCAGCUGGAGUCUUGCAAGUUGAAGUGAGCCACUCUGCAGGGUGAACCCGCACCCAGUGCCGCCCAGGAAGCCGCCAGUCAGGAUUGGGCGCAGAGUCUCUGGAAGGAGCUCCAGGAGACAGUGUGGCCUCCACAGCAUCAGGCAACCAGGGAGAUGCAAACACGUCUGCUGUAGAUGCUGGCGAUGGGACCCCCUCUUCCCAGCCAGGGCCUGCUGGGUAAGAUGGCAUUUCCGUGGGUGACUUUAUCACUCAGGAUUUGGGGCAUGAAGACUUAUUGGCU